AGCAAGUCUGACCAGCACAAAAAGCCUGCUCCUCCUAGGAGUGAUGGGAUGCUGAUCCCCUUCCAACUGGCCUCCAGCCAGCCAACUGCAGAUUUGGGGCUUGUCAGCCUCUGGAAUUCUGUGAGUUGAUUCCUUGUGAACUCUCUCCCUCCCCUCUCCCCUCUCUCUCCCCUUCUUUUCUUUCUCUCCUCCUCCCUUUUCCUCUCCCUCUUUCCCUCUCUCUCUUCUCUCUACUGUCCUCCCCUCUGUCUCCUUUCUCCCCAUUGUCUUGAUUGUUUCUCUGGAGAACCCGGACCAGAGCAAGCUUCCUCUCUCUACUCCAGCUUCCUCUGACUUCCUGGAAUUUCUGCCCCUUCUUACUUGUGUCAUGUGUUCCUUGGCUACCUCAGCAUGAACUCUAAUAGGAGCAAUCACUAACCGAAAUCCCAGGAAAGUGGUUCUGGGGGCACCAUCACGGGUCACAGGGCAAGAGAGGUCAGCGUUGAAUCCUGGAGGGCUUCCCGCAAUCAGUCACUACACCAGCAGAGACUAAGGCAGGGGAUGCAGGUAACAUCCAGGGCAAAGCACUGUCGAACUACAAGCUUGCCUUCCAGGUUCAUCUUCCUGCAUUAAAGGGUUAAGCUGGGAUCAAGGGACGGCCAUCCUGAGGUCCCAUAGUGGGAGAAACACACAGCAGGCAGAGUCAGGCUCCCUAAGUGUGGAUCUGAAGGAAAGCUGAAGUCCCAGAUACACAGUGAUGAAAACCUACAUCUGGAGACCAAAUGUGUCCCGGAAAAGAUGAAUGAACCCAGCUAGACCAUGGUUUAUGACAUAGCAGACUCAAGAACUACUUACUGCAGAGGAAUGGUUCAAAUGGAGGCCCAGACAAGCAAAUAAUUAUCAACGUGGAAAGCUGUACCCAAAGCCAGCGGUAAUUAAACCAGACAUUGUCUGCCAGGAGGGUUUGGAAGAUGGAGGGCAUUCUGAGUUCACGUGGGAGACUUGCAAGAAGUGACGGAGUUUGGGCAUGGGUGGGGGAAGGAAGUGGAAAAAACAAGAAAUUGGAACUUGGUUGGGGACAGAUUAUGCAAUAUGCCACAUUGACAAGACACAGCUCUGUACUGUGCUCAGUGAGGAACAGCCAGGUCUAUUUCAGAACCCUGCUGAAGAAUGAAGGUUGGCUUCUGGGGGUGGAGGGUGUGAGAAAAAGCCAUCACUGGUUUCCAGGUCUGAACCCCUCUGGACAUCAGGAAAAUGAAGAAAAUGGCUGUUCUUGUCUCUUGUGUUGUUGGAGGCUGACAUGAGAAUACACACAGAGCAUGGCCCUGUAAUACUAAUAAACCUUUGCAUCGUUGGGCUCUUUGCUAUCUGGAUGAAUAGUUAGGCACACAGGACGUUCUGUCUCUUAGACCUGGGCUUGUGUCCUGGCCAUGUUAGGUGGCAUGUUUUUAAUCUAAGCAAGACACAAGAUGGCCAGGAAGGAAUGGUCAAAAGUGUUUGGCAUUGCUAUGCUUUGAGAGC
rnacentral:lncRNA from 1 species